CGCAGAAAGGAACUGCAACGUCCGCUCUAGGACACCCGUUCAGCUGAUCAGCUGGAUAUGAGAUUUCCGGGUUACAUCAGAGGUCGCCUUUGUCCUCCGCUGGAGGCGCUCGUUUGAGAAUGGGUAGCCGCGGUUGGGCGUUAGGUGUCCCGCGUCUCCGUUCCUUCUGUUAGACGCCGAAGUUCAGGAAAGGUUUCUCUCAGCUGACUAGAGGGAGAGACAUAUUUUAUUCCACUGGAUUCAAACCUCUAGGAGAGGCAGGCAUCAGUUAGCAUUUCGUCUGCCUCUGUGGCUGAGCACUGACAAACUCAACUUGCAAGAGACAGAAGAAGCCAUGGCGGCAGUGUGUUCCCCAACGCAGUGACGUGGACAAAUGACCCCAGGUUGACCCACCUUGGAUAAAUACACCUGUAAUAGAACUAGGAGGAAGAGAAUGUAAGGUAUUGGCUUAGGCCUGAUUUGGGCAAAACCAAUAUUAAUGCUAUAUAAAUCAUGUCUGUGUGUGUAUAUAUAUUUAUUCAUUAAUUCAC